UACGUAGGGUGCGAGCGUUGUCCGGAAUUAUUGGGCGUAAAGAGCUCGUAGGCGGUCUGUCGCGUCGAUCGUGAAAACUUGGGGCUUAACCCUGAGCUUGCGGUCGAUACGGGCAUGACUGGAGUUCGGCAGGGGAGACUGGAAUUCCUGGUGUAGCGGUGAAAUGCGCAGAUAUCGGGAAGAACACCAGUGGCGAAAGCGCUCUACUGGGCCAUAACUGACACUGAGGGACGAAAGCUAGGGGAGCGAAAGGG
rnacentral:rRNA from 1 species